rnacentral:lncRNA from 1 species
UUGCAAGAAAUAUGUCCACCACAAGUGGAAAACUCUCAAGAGUAUCACAACCUGAAAGUUCUAGUGUUUCUAGUGAAUCCAACUUGAGAGGUGGAAUACUUUUGAGAUUGUGACAAUUUUUAACAAGCAUGGUUUUAAGUUUUCCAAGAUACUCGUCCACCACAAGUGGAAAACUCUCAAGACUAUGACAAUCUGAAAGUUCUAGUGUUUCUAGUGAAUCCAACUUGAGAGGUGGAAAACUUCUGAGACUGCGACAGCUUGUAACAAUCAUGGUUUUAAGUUUUCGAAGAUACUCUUCCACCACAAGUGGAAAACUCUCAAGACUAUGACAAAAUGAAAGUUUUAGUGUUUCUAGUGAAUCCAACUUGAGAGGUGUAAUACUCAUGAGACUGCGACAGUUUGUAACAAGCAUGGUUUUAAGUUUUCCAAGAUACUCGUCCACCACAAGUGGAAAACUCUCAAGACAAUGACAAUCUGAAAGUUUUAGUGUUUCCAGGGAAUCCAACUUGAGAGGUGGAAUACUUCUGAGAUUGCGACAACAUUUAACAUUCAGGGUUUUAAGUUUUGCAAGAAAUGUGUCCACCACAAGUGGAAAACUCUCAAGAGUAUCACAACAUGAAAGUUCUAGUGUUUCUAGUGAAUCCAACUUGAGAGGUGGAAUACUCUUGAGAUUGUGACAAUUUUUAACAAGCAUGGUUUUAAGUUUUCCAAGAUACUCGUCCGCCACAAGUGGAAAACUCUCAAGACUAUGACAAUCUGAAAGUUCUAGUGUUUCUAGUGAAUCCAACUUGAGAGGUGGAAUACUCUUGAGAUUGUGACAAUUUUUAACAAGCAUGGUUUUAAGUUUUCCAAGAUACUCGUCCGCCACAAGUGGAAAACUCUCAAGACUAUGACAAUUUGAAAGUUCUAGUGUUUCUAGUGAAUCCAACU